rnacentral:lncRNA from 1 species
GAUACCUCUUGGGCUGUUAAAAGUGUGUGGGAACAGUGUAACCUGAACAAGAACGUAGUGUCUAUAGGAUGAGUGACACUUGGAAGCAGAGGCAGAGUGCUACAUGGACACCUGACUGUACCAAAUGGUUAUUGUGUUUUCUCAAUCAGACGCCAAUUGCGGAAUACCAGCUGAUAUUCUACCCUCAACUCAUGCUAAAAGCUUUCUAGUCUUUCUCAAGGAAACCUGUCCAAAGGGAUAUGUGAUCCCAGGAAUUAUUAUUGUAUAAGUAAUACUUGGAUGUUUUUACUAAUAGUUCACACAUUUCACAGCCCUUUGGUGGAGAGCCUUUUUCGUUAAUGUUCUGUUCAAGAAUAAUUGCAUAGUAUUUAUAAUCCUCUCAGGGAUUAAGUAUAGAUGUAAUACACAACUCAAAGAUGCUUGUUGAUGUUCACUUUGUAAAAAUUCAUCAAGUUGUAUACUUGAUAUUUGUGCACUUUCUGUGUUACAUAUUUUUUAAUUAAAUACUUAUAGAAACUAU